CACCAGCCUAGCAAGUGGAAGGUCCUGAGUUCAAACCCAAGUACCUACAAAAAAAUCCAUUGAAACUAAUAAACUGUUUAUUCUCAAACUUGUUAGUUAAGACAGUAGAUACAAUAUUCUGAGACUGGCUUUCUCAUGCAGAAAGACUGUUUCUCCUUCUAGCCUGCAGAAGAUUGUUAUUCAUUCUUCUAUAUCUCACAUACCUCUGAGUUCAGAGGCACUGCUCACUUCACUUGUUGAAUGUUACUCAUUCACUUGCAUGCAAAAACCUUGGCUCUUUCAGAUUCCCUUUCUACUCCUAAUUAUUACUUCUUUAUCAAUUAUUUACCUCCUUCAUUUACUAUGGUACAUGAACUUCAUUCCUUUCAAACUUCUGUUGUUGGCCUGGAUGUUUUCAGUACAACUCAUUCAAUACCUGGCUACCUGGACUUGUGACAGUUCAUUGUUCAUUAAUUCAAUACUUUAGCCAUAUAUAUGCACAUGUUUAUUUACUUAUACAUUUAUUUAUAUACUUAUACAAUGAUUUUUUUGAACAUCUGCAGUGUAAUAUGCCAAGCCCUAAGCUAGUUAUGAGAUGCAGUUAUUAAAGGAAAGAAAAACAACUGAACAACCUAAACUAGACAUGGUCCUAAACAACUUGAGGCUUCUCUGAAGAAAUGAUGAGAAAUCUGAGACCUCAUUUGAGGAGUAAAUUGGAAGAAAGAAGGAGUCAAGAGAGUUUCAAGUAGAGGGAGCUGCGUGUGCAAAGGUCCAAUGAGAUGAGGGAGAAUGAUUCAUUUAAGAACUGA